UCUCUUGGCUCUCGCAUCGAUGAAGAACGCAGCGAAAUGCGAUAAGUAAUGUGAAUUGCAGAAUUCAGUGAAUCAUCGAAUCUUUGAACGCACCUUGCGCUCCUUGGUAUUCCGAGGAGCAUGCCUGUUUGAGUGU
rnacentral:rRNA from 1 species